CAUCCCGGUUCACAGUCUUUGGGGCCCGCUUCCUGAUUUCAACCGCCUCUUUGAUCCAUCGAUGGAAUUUGGAACAAGAGUGAAAGCAACAAAAGAAAAUCU